AUAGAAGCCCUAGCCUACAACCAAUAAUCUUAUAUUUAAUAAAUAAACCAUUUUAACACGUUAGUAUGGGAGACAAAAAACAUAACAGCGCAAUAAAUAAAGUACUGUAAAGGAAAGAUGAAAUAGAAAUGAAAUAAACCAAAAAAAUAUAAAGAAGCAAAGACUAAAACCUUUACCUUUUGCAUAAUGGUCUAGCAAGUCUAACCCCACACAAAGAACUUAGUGGGAACCCCCGAAACCAAACGAGCUACUUCGAAGCAGCAAAUGAGCAAACCCGUCUCUGUAGCAAAAGAGUGGGAAGACUUCAAAGUAGAGGUGAAAAGCCUAACGAGUCUGGAUAUAGCUGGUUACUUGAGAAUGAAUUUUAGUUCAGCUAAAAGCAUUAAAUCAUAAAAGGAAAGCUUUUAUCAUAACCAAUUGAGGUACAGCUCAAUUAGUAAGGGGAACAACCCCUAUAAAUAAAUAAAGAUUAUAAUUUUUAAAGGAAAUAGUCAAGUAGGCCUAAUAGCAGCCACCUAGAAAGCGUCACAGCUCAACUUAAACAUACUAAUAAUUUUAAUAAAAAAAUCUAAAUUUACUACAAAAAUCAAGUCACUCUAAAAAUAGAAAUAUUACUACUAGAAUAAGUAACAAGAAAACACUCUCUUAAUAUAAGUGUAAAUCAGAACGGAAUAACCACUGAUAAUUAACAUGCAAAUAUUAUAAAUAUAUUUUAUAUUUAAACCACCGUUAACCCAACACAGGAAUAUUUAAGAAAACAAAAUGCCUAGGAAGGAACUCGGCAAACAAUAGCUUCGCCUGUUUACCAAAAACAUCGCCUACUGAUAUUUUAACAUAGUAGGUACUGCCUGCCCAGUGACUUCCUGUUUAACGGCCGCGGUAUUAUGACCGUGCAAAGGUAGCGUAAUCACUUGUCUAUUAAAUCUAGACCAGUAUGAAUGGCAAAACGAAAGCUCAUCUGUCUCCCUAAGCCAGUUAGUGAAAUUGAUUUUCCCGUGCAGAAGCGGGAAUAUAAAUAUAAGACGAGAAGACCCUAUGGAGCUUUAAACCUACGUUAACUACUACAAUAAAAAUUUAAAUGUAGACGUAAUUUAAGAUUUUAGGUUGGGGCGACCACGGAGGAUAAAUAAACCCCCGAGAAUAAAGCCUGGAGAGACAUCUCUAGCCAACAAUAAUGUUAAUAUAUUGACCCAGUAGCUGAUCAACGAACCAAGUUACCCUAGGGAUAACAGCGCAAUCCCUUCAAAAAGUCCUUAUUGACGAAGGGGUUUACGACCUCGAUGUUGGAUCAGGACCCCCAAAUGGUGCAGCAGCUAUUAAAGGUUCGUUUGUUCAACGAUUAAAGUCCUACGUGAUCUGAGUUCAGACCGGAGUAAUCCAGGUCAGUUUCUAUCUAUAAACAAGAUUUUCUAGUACGAAAGGACCGAAAAAAUAAGGCCUAUAAAAAUUUUAAGCCUUCUCAUAAAUCUCUAAAUAAAAUAAAGAGAUUGCUGAGAAAAUAUGAGCCCAAUAAAAGGGUUU
rnacentral:rRNA from 1 species